CAGUAGCCGCGGGAAUACAGAGGGUGCGAGCGUUAAUCGGAUUUACUGGGCGUAAAGCGUGCGUAGGCGGCUUUUUAAGUCGGAUGUGAAAUCCCUGAGCUUAACUUAGGAAUUGCAUUCGAUACUGGGAAGCUAGAGUAUGGGAGAGGAUGGUAGAAUUCCAGGUGUAGCGGUGAAAUGCGUAGAGAUCUGGAGGAAUACCGAUGGCGAAGGCAGCCAUAUGGCCUAAUACUGACGCUGAGGUACGAAAGCAUGGGGAGCAAACAGGAUUAGAUACCCCCGUAGUCCCUGUCUCUUAUAC
rnacentral:rRNA from 1 species